GUCGAGCGAACGGACGAGAAGCUUGCUUCUCUGAUGUUAGCGGCGGACGGGUGAGUAACACGUGGAUAACCUACCUAUAAGACUGGGAUAACUUCGGGAAACCGGAGCUAAUACCGGAUAAUAUUUUGAACCGCAUGGUUCAAAAGCGAAAGACGGUCUUGCUGUCACUUAUAGAUGGAUCCGCGCUGCAUUAGCUAGUUGGUAAGGUAACGGCUUACCAAGGCAACGAUGCAUAGCCGACCUGAGAGGGUGAUCGGCCACACUGGAACUGAGACACGGUCCAGACUCCUACGGGAGGCAGCAGUAGGGAAUCUUCCGCAAUGGGCGAAAGCCUGACGGAGCAACGCCGCGUGAGUGAUGAAGGUCUUCGGAUCGUAAAACUCUGUUAUUAGGGAAGAACAUAUGUGUAAGUAACUGUGCACAUCUUGACGGUACCUAAUCAGAAAGCCACGGCUAACUACGUGCCAGCAGCCGCGGUAAUACGUAGGUGGCAAGCGUUAUCCGGAAUUAUUGGGCGUAAAGCGCGCGUAGGCGGUUUUUUAAGUCUGAUGUGAAAGCCCACGGCUCAACCGUGGAGGGUCAUUGGAAACUGGAAAACUUGAGUGCAGAAGAGGAAAGUGGAAUUCCAUGUGUAGCGGUGAAAUGCGCAGAGAUAUGGAGGAACACCAGUGGCGAAGGCGACUUUCUGGUCUGUAACUGACGCUGAUGUGCGAAAGCGUGGGGAUCAAACAGGA
rnacentral:rRNA from 1 species